UUUUCAAAAACAGUCGAUACAAAAGCCGAGCCGGCACAGCAAUGAAGUUAGUUUGCUUGAAACUUCGCUUCGGAAGUCCAACCGGCGAAUUCCAGAUUAGUGUUGCGAAGUCAAUCACCCUUAUUCUUGUUUACGACCGUAUCUGUCUUUCGAACGAAUGUAUUCGAAAAUGGCAUUCUUGUUUUCGUACGUAUUCGUAUCGAAUACGAUUCGUAUGCGAAAAAGUAUUGCCGCAUCAGCAAGUUUUUCGAAACAAUUCUAAGCUGUCAAAAACGAAAACAAAAGGAGGAAAAUCCUUGUUUUUUAUCAUUACCCACGGAUUCAUCGUUUGUGGUUCUGAUUUGUGCAUCAAAGAUCCGGAUCUACUUUUUUUUGUAUUUAAGUGGUAAAAGUUUUGUAUUUGAGAGAAUUUCAACAACCCAUGGCCUUUUAGAAAUACCUCAUGAGGAGUGGAUGCAUAUGAGACGGUACCAAUCCUAUCUCCGGAAGCGAUUUGAUGUCUAUGAGAUACCUGAUUCAAAGAUUUCCAAAAACUGUCGACCUUAUAAAGCGACAUUUCUGUUCAAUCUUGAAAUUCACGAUUUCCUCCUCAAAAACAAGCAGGUGGAGCACAAGCUUUGCCUGGUGCUUCUUAAUGGUUUUUCAUUGAGGGUAGUUAUCAACAUUGUGCGUGAAAGCCGUAGCUCAACUAAAUCCUCUCUGAAAUGGAUGGUGUCCUGGAAAGGCAAAAACGGCCAACGAUGGAUAACGCUCCAGAUGUCGGAUGAAGAAAUGCGUUGGACAUCUUUCGGGGAUCUUUGUUUGGAGUGUCCAUUGGCAUGGUAACACUCAUUUGGAUGUGAAUACAUAGAAAUAAAUAAUUUCAUAAAUAUGAAGCUUGAAAGUUGAAAACGAAUAAUGUGCCAUUAUGAAAAAAACAAUAAAAACAGGAAAAAUUUGAGCUUAGUGAUGAA